CCUACGGGAGGCAGCAGUGGGGAAUUUUGUGCAAUGGGGGAAACCCUGACACAGCGACACCGCGUGAGCGAAGAAGCCCUUUGGGGUGUAAAGCUCUGUCAACGGGAAGACGGUACCCGUGGAGGAAGCAUCGGCUAACUACGUGCCAGCAGCCGCGGUAAGACGUAGGAUGCAAGCGUUGUCCGGAUUUAUUGGGCGUAAAGAGUUCGUAGGCUGUUUGUUAAGUCUGAUGUUAAAGACUGGGGCUCAACCUCGGAAAUGCAUUGGAUACUGGCAGACUGGAGUGCAGUAGAGGCUAGUGGAAUUCCCAGUGUAGCGGUGAAAUGCGUAGAUAUUGGGAAGAACACCGGUGGCGUAGGCGACUAGCUGGCUUAACUGACGCUGAGGAACGAAAGCCAGGGGAGCGAAUGGGAUUAGAUACCCUAGUAGUC
rnacentral:rRNA from 1 species